GCAGUCGUACGAGAGUUUUUAACUCUAGUGGCGGACGGGUGAGUAACACGUGAGAAUUUACCUUUAGGAGGGGGAUAACAAUUGGAAACGACUGCUAAUACCCCAUAUGCUUUUGAGUGAAAUGGAUUUAUAUUUAUCCGCCUAGAGAGAAGCUCGCGGCUGAUUAGCUUGUUGGUAAGGUAAGAGCUUACCAAGGCGACGAUCAGUAUCUGGUUUGAGAGGACGAUCAGACACACUGGAACUGAGACACGGUCCAGACUCCUACGGGAGGCAGCAGUGGGGAAUUUUCCGCAAUGGGCGAAAGCCUGACGGAGCAAUACCGCGUGAGGGAAGACUGCCUAUGGGUUGUAAACCUCUUUUUUCAGGGAGGAAUAAAAUGACGUGUACCUGAAGAAUAAGCAUCGGCUAACUCCGUGCCAGCAGCCGCGGUAAGACGGAGGAUGCAAGUGUUAUCCGGAAUCACUGGGCGUAAAGCGUCUGUAGGUAGUUUGAUAAGUCAACUGUUAAAUCUUGAGGCUCAACUUCAAAAUCGCAGUCGAAACUAUUAGACUAGAGUAUAGUAGAGGUAAAGGGAAUUUCCAGUGGAGCGGUGAAAUGCGUAGAUAUUGGAAAGAACACCGAUGGCGAAAGCACUUUACUGGGCUAUUACUAACACUCAGAGACGAAAGCUAGGGUAGCAAAUGGGAUUAGAUACCCCAGUAGUCCUAGCCGUAAACUAUGGAUACUAGAUGUUGAACAGAUCGACCUGUGCAGUAUCAA
rnacentral:rRNA from 1 species